rnacentral:rRNA from 1 species
CAGUCGCCGCGGUAAUACGUAGGUGGCAAGCGUUGUCCGGAAUUAUUGGGCGUAAAGGGCUCGCAGGCGGUUUCUUAAGUCUGAUGUGAAAGCCCCCGGCUCAACCGGGGAGGGUCAUUGGAAACUGGGAAACUUGAGUGCAGAAGAGGAGAGUGGAAUUCCACGUGUAGCGGUGAAAUGCGUAGAGAUGUGGAGGAACACCAGUGGCGAAGGCGACUCUCUGGUCUGUAACCGACGCUGAGGAGCGAAAGCGUGGGGAGCGAACAGGAUUAGAUACCCGAGUAGUCCCUGUCUCUUAUAC